AAUGAACGUUGGCGGCAUGGAUUAGGCAUGCAAGUCGAGCGAGAAGAGUUUUGAAGCUUGCUUUAGAACUCGGACAGCGGCGAAAGGGAGAGUAACGCGUAGUUAUGUGCCCUAGGGUCCGGAAUAGCCACGGGAAACUGUGGGUAAUGCCGGAUAAUAUCCCCGGAUCAAAGGUGUGAUUCCGCCCUAGGAGCAGACUGCGUCCUACUAGCUAGUUGGUGGGGUAAUGGCCUACCAAGGACACGAUGGGUAGCGGGUGUGAGAGCAUGAACCGGCUCACUGUGACUGAGACACUGCCCAGACACCUACGGGUGGCUGCAGUCGAGAAUCUUCGGCAAUGGGCGAAAGCCUGACCGAGCGAUGCCGCGUGCGGGAUGAAGGCCCUCGGGUUGUAAACCGCUGUCGUAGGGGAGGAAGGUUCCGUGAAGAGCGGAAUUUGACCUAUCCUAGGAGGAAGUACGGGCUAAGUUCGUGCCAGCCGCCGCGGUAA
rnacentral:rRNA from 1 species